rnacentral:rRNA from 1 species
GAUGAACGCUGGCGGCGUGCCUAAUACAUGCAAGUCGAGCGAACGGACGAGAAGCUUGCUUCUCUGAUGUUAGCGGCGGACGGGGGAGUAACACGUGGAUAACCUACCUAUAAGACUGGGAUAACUUCGGGAAACCGUAGCUAAUACCGGAUAAUAUUUUGAACCGCAUGGUUCAAAAGUGAAAGACGGGCUUGCGGUCACUUAUAGGUGGAUCCGCGCUGCAUUAGCUAGUUGGUAAGGUAACGGCUUACCAAGGCAACGAUGCAUAGCCGACCUGAGAGGGUGAUCGGCCACCCUGGAACUGAGACACGGUCCAGACUCCUACGGGAGGCAGCAGUAGGGAAUCUUCCGCAAUGGGCGAAAGCCUGACGGAGCAACGCCGCGUGAGUGAUGAAGGUCUUCGGAUCGUAAAACUCUGUUAUUAGUGAAGAACAUAUGUGUAAGUAACUGUGCACAUCUUGACGGUACCUAAUCAGAAAGCCACGGCUAACUACGUG